AACGAACGCUGGCGGCAUGCCUAACACAUGCAAGUCGAACGAGACCUUCGGGUCUAGUGGCGCACGGGUGCGUAACGCGUGGGAACCUGCCCUUAGGUUCGGAAUAACUCCCCGAAAGGGGUGCUAAUACCGGAUAAUGUCUUCGGACCAAAGAUUUAUCGCCUUUGGAUGGGCCCGCGUUGGAUUAGCUAGUUGGUAGGGUAAAAGCCUACCAAGGCGACGAUCCAUAGCUGGUCGGAGAGGAUGAUCAGCCACACUGGGACUGAGACACGGCCCAGACUCCUACGGGAGGCAGCAGUGGGGAAUAUUGGACAAUGGGCGAAAGCCUGAUCCAGCAAUGCCGCGUGAGUGAUGAAGGCCUUAGGGUUGGAAAGCUCUUUUACCCGGGAUGAUAAGGACAGUACCGGGAGAAUAAGCUCCGGCUAACUCCGUG
rnacentral:rRNA from 1 species